GAUGAACGUUGGCGGCGUGCCUAAGGUAUGCAAGUUGAACGACCCAGCGGGACUUCGGUUUUGCUGGGAGUAGCAAACGGCUGAGUAACGCGUAGGAACUUCCCCUCUAGUCAAGGAUAGCUACCCGAAAGGGUAAGUAAUCCUGGAUAUGAUCUGCGGAUCAAAGGCUUCGGUCGCUAGAGGAUAGGCCUGCGUCCUAUCAGGUUGUUGGUGAGGUAAUAGCUCACCAAGCCUAUGGACGGGUAGCUGGUCUGAGAGGAUGAUCAGCCAGAAUGGGACUGAGACACGGCCCAUACUCCUACGGGAGGCAG
rnacentral:rRNA from 1 species